rnacentral:rRNA from 1 species
GAGAGUUUGAUCCUGGCUCAGGACGAACGCUGGCGGCGUGCCUAAUACAUGCAAGUCGAACGCUUCUUUUCCCAUCGGAGCUUGCUCCACCGGGAAAAGAGGAGUGGCGAACGGGUGAGUAACACGUGGGUAACCUGCCCAUCAGAAGGGGAUAACACUUGGAAACAGGUGCUAAUACCGUAUAACAAUCGAAACCGCAUGGUUUCGUUUUGAAAGGCGCUUUACGGUGCCGCUGAUGGAUGGACCCGCGGUGCAUUAGCUAGUUGGUGAGGUAACGGCUCACCAAGGCCACGAUGCAUAGCCGACCUGAGAGGGUGAUCGGCCACAUUGGGACUGAGACACGGCCCAAACUCCUACGGGAGGCAGCAGUAGGGAAUCUUCGGCAAUGGACGAAAGUCUGACCGAGCAACGCCGCGUGAGUGAAGAAGGUUUUCGGAUCGUAAAACUCUGUUGUUAGAGAAGAACAAGGGUGAGAGUAACUGUUCACCCCUUGACGGUAUCUAACCAGAAAGCCACGGCUAACUACGUGCCAGCAGCCGCGGUAAUACGUAGGUGGCAAGCGUUGUCCGGAUUUAUUGGGCGUAAAGCGAGCGCAGGCGGUUUCUUAAGUCUGAUGUGAAAGCCCCCGGCUCAACCGGGGAGGGUCAUUGGAAACUGGGAGACUUGAGUGCAGAAGAGGAGAGUGGAAUUCCAUGUGUAGCGGUGAAAUGCGUAGAUAUAUGGAGGAACACCAGUGGCGAAGGCGGCUCUCUGGUCUGUAACUGACGCUGAGGCUCGAAAGCGUGGGGAGCAAACAGGAUUAGAUACCCUGGUAGUCCACGCCGUAAACGAUGAGUGCUAAGUGUUGGAGGGUUUCCGCCCUUCAGUACUGCAGCUAACGCAUUAAGCACUCCGCCUGGGGAGUACGACCGCAAGGUUGAAACUCAAAGGAAUUGACGGGGGCCCGCACAAGCGGUGGAGCAUGUGGUUUAAUUCGAAGCAACGCGAAGAACCUUACCAGGUCUUGACAUCCUUUGACCACUCUAGAGAUAGAGCUUCCCCUUCGGGGGCAAAGUGACAGGUGGUGCAUGGUUGUCGUCAGCUCGUGUCGUGAGAUGUUGGGUUAAGUCCCGCAACGAGCGCAACCCUUAUUGUUAGUUGCCAUCAUUUAGUUGGGCACUCUAGCAAGACUGCCGGUGACAAACCGGAGGAAGGUGGGGAUGACGUCAAAUCAUCAUGCCCCUUAUGACCUGGGCUACACACGUGCUACAAUGGGAAGUACAACGAGUCGCGAAGUCGCGAGGCUAAGCUAAUCUCUUAAAGCUUCUCUCAGUUCGGAUUGUAGGCUGCAACUCGCCUACAUGAAGCCGGAAUCGCUAGUAAUCGCGGAUCAGCACGCCGCGGUGAAUACGUUCCCGGGCCUUGUACACACCGCCCGUCACACCACGAGAGUUUGUAACACCCGAAGUCGGUGAGGUAACCUUUUUGGAGCCAGCCGCCUAAGGUGGGAUAGAUGAUUGGGGUGAAGUCGUAACAAGGUAGCCGUAUCGGAAGGUGCGGCUGGAUCACCUCCUU